rnacentral:rRNA from 1 species
AUUGAAUUAAAAUCAAAAAUUGGAUUUUACUUGAGUUUCAUUUGUUAAGUUCAAAAGAAUUGGCGGUAUCAAGUUAAAUUCUGAGGAAUUUGUUUAAUUAAGUUGAUAGUGCGCAUUAAAAUCUAACCUCAUUUUUAGGCUUAUAUAUUGCUAUUUAACUGAUUAUUAGAAAGUUUUAAGAAUUAGUUAGAUUUUCUUAAAAAGGAAUUUAAGUCAAAAUGUAGUAUUAAUGGGGGUUAAAUAAAUUACAGUUUAAGAGGAGUUAGAUUACGAAUAAGUAAAGUAAUGGUUUAUUUUGAAGUUGGAUUAGGAUGUAAAGUUAAAUUAAUAUGUUAACUUGAUAGUUUACUGAUAUGUACAUAUUGCCCGUCGC